rnacentral:miRNA from 1 species
CAAUGUGUCCACAGUGCAUCC